rnacentral:rRNA from 1 species
GAUGAACGCUGGCGGCGUGCCUAAUACAUGCAAGUCGAGCGAACAGACGAGGAGCUUGCUCCUCUGACGUUAGCGGUGGACGGGUGAGUAACACGUGGAUAACCUACCUAUAAGACUGGGAUAACUUCGGGAAACCGGAGCUAAUACCGGAUAACAUGUUGAACCGCAUGGUUCAACAGUGAAAGACGGUCUUGCUGUCACUUAUAGAUGGAUCCGCGCCGCAUUAGCUAGUUGGUAAGGUAACGGCUUACCAAGGCAACGAUGCGUAGCCGACCUGGGAGGGUGAUCGGCCACACUGGAACUGAGAAACGGGCCAGCGGCCUACGGGAGGCAGCAGUAGGGAAUCUUCCGCAAUGGGCGAAAGCCUGACGGAGCAACGCCGCGUGAGUGAAGAAGGUCUUCGGAUCGUAAAACUCUGUUAUUAGGGAAGAACAAAUGUGUAAGUAACUAUGCACGUCUUGACGGUACCUAAUCAGAAAGCCACGGCUAACUACGUGCCAGCCGCCGCCGUAA